GUGCUAUUCACAUCUGCGUUGACCAGCAAGUCAUACUCGAACCUGCAGAUCAGAAGCAAGACUGGAGGGUUAUCUGGAAAGUCUUUCAGGUAAACUUCAGACACUAAGAAUCUACACGUUUCAGUUUCUGGGUUACAGAUCUAAGACCCAGGAUCUCAGCCAGCUGGAGCUUUGGUCCUUGCUGUAGCAAUGCUGUUUUGAGGAGGCAGCGGCUGGAAUGUGGUGGUGAUUGGCAUACUGAGUCUUUUCAGAGUUCAAAUCAUCUCCAAGUUUGGACUGCAGUUCCUUCAGGUUCAAAAUGGAAUACAAUAUGUUAGUGUGUCCUUCCAGCAUUCUGCUUUUCUCUAAGGAAGAGCCCAGAAGCAUAUGGCUAAUGAUGAGCAAUGCUUUCCAUCUGGACACCCUGGUUUGGCCUCCCAGGAUCUGCAAAGAACCCAUCAUGCAUCGUCAAAGAUCAGAACCACAGCAUAUGUCCUACCUCAAAGCUAUAGGAGAGCUCAAGACACAUCACCUCA
rnacentral:lncRNA from 1 species